UCCUACGGGGGGCAGCAGUGGGGAAUAUUGGACAAUGGGGGCAACCCUGAUCCAGCCAUGCCGCGUGAGUGAUGAAGGCCCUAGGGUUGUAAAGCUCUUUUGUGCGGGAAGAUAAUGACUGUACCGCAAGAAUAAGCCCCGGCUAACUUCGUGCCAGCAGCCGCGGUAAUACGAAGGGGGCUAGCGUUGCUCGGAAUCACUGGGCGUAAAGCGCACGUAGGCGGACUCUUAAGUCGGUGGUGAAAUCCUGGAGCUCAACUCCAGAACUGCCUUCGAUACUGGGAGUCUCGAGUUCGGGAGAGGUGAGUGGAACUGCGAGUGUAGAGGUGAAAUUCGUAGAUAUUCGCAAGAACACCAGUGGCGAAGGCGGCUCACUGGCCCGAUACUGACGCUGAGGUGCGAAAGCGUGGGGAGCAAACAGGAUUAGAUACCCUAGUAGUCGCC
rnacentral:rRNA from 1 species